AUUGAACGCUGGCGGCAGGCCUAACACAUGCAAGUCGAGCGGAGCGGCGGCCGGGUGAGUAAUGCCUAGUAAUCUGCCUGGUAGUGGGGGAUAACGUCCGGAAACGGGCGCUAAUACCGCAUACUCUCAGAUGAGCCUAGGUCGGAUUCGCUAUUUGGUGGGGUAAAGGACUACCAAGGCGACGAUCCGUAACUGGUCUGAGAGGAUGAUCAGUCACACUGGAACUGAGACACGGGCCAGAUUCCUACGUGAGGCAGCAGUGGGGAAUAUUGGACAAUGGGCGAAAGCCUGAUCCAGCCAUGCCGCGUGUGUGAAGAAGGCCUUAGGGUUGUAAAGUACUUUCAGCGGGGAGGCGUUACCCGCAGAAGAAGCACCGGCUAACUCCGUGCCAGCCGCCGCGGUAAUAC
rnacentral:rRNA from 1 species